CUGAGUACGGCGGAACACGUGAAAUUCCGUCGGAAUCCGGGAGGACCAUCUCCCAAGGCUAAAUACUCCCUAGUGACCGAUAGUGAACCAGUACCGUGAGGGAAAGGUGAAAAGCACCCCGGAAGGGGAGUGAAACAGUUCCUGAAACCGUGUGCCUACAAGUAGUUAGAGCCCGUUAAUGGGUGAUAGCGUGCCUUUUGUAGAAUGAACCGGCGAGUUACGAUUUGUUGCAAGGUUAAGCGGAAAAAGCGGAGCCGUAGCGAAAGCGAGUCUGAAUAGGGCGCAUAAGUAACAGGUCGUAGACCCGAAACCAGGUGAUCUACCCAUGUCCAGGAUGAAGGUAAGGUAAUACUUACUGGAGGUCCGAACCCACGCACGUUGAAAAGUGCGGGGAUGAGGUGUGGGUAGCGGAGAAAUUCCAAUCGAACUUGGAGAUAGCUGGUUCUCUCCGAAAUAGCUUUAGGGCUAGCCUCGAGGUAAAGAGUCAUGGAGGUAGAGCACUGUUUGGACUAGGGGCCCUUCUCGGGUUACCGAAUUCAGAUAAACUCCGAAUGCCAUGUACUUAUACUCGGGAGUCAGACUGCGAGUGAUAAGAUCCGUAGUCGAAAGGGAAACAGCCCAGACCACCAGUUAAGGUCCCCAAAUAUAUGUUAAGUGGAAAAGGAUGUGGGGUUGCUUAGACAACCAGGAUGUUGGCUUAGAAGCAGCCACCAUUGAAAGAGUGCGUAAUAGCUCACUGGUCGAGUGACCCCGCGCCGAAAAUGUACCGGGGCUAAACAUAUUACCGAAACUGUGGAUGAACCUCUUUAGAGGUUCGUGGUAGGAGAGCGUUCUAAGGGCGGUGAAGUCAGACCGGAAGGACUGGUGGAGCGCUUAGAAGUGAGAAUGCCGGUAUGAGUAGCGAAAGAAGGGUGAGAAUCCCUUCCACCGAAUAUCUAAGGUUUCCUGAGGAAGGCUCGUCCGCUCAGGGUUAGUCGGGACCUAAGCCGAGGCCGAUAGGCGUAGGCGAUGGACAACAGGUAGAGAUUCCUGUACCAGUGCUAAUUGUUUAACCGAUGGGGUGACACAGAAGGAUAGGGAAUCGCACGAAUGGAAAUGUGCGUCCAAGCAGUGAGUGUGAGAAGUAGGCAAAUCCGCUUCUCGCGAAGCAUGAGCUGUGAUGGGGAAGGAAAUUAAGUACGGAAGUUCCUGAUUUCACGCUGUCAAGAAAAGCCUCUAGGAAGAGUAGUACUGCCCGUACCGCAAACCGACACAGGUAGAUGAGGAGAGAAUCCUAAGGUGAGCGAGAGAACUCUCGUUAAGGAACUCGGCAAAAUGACCCCGUAACUUCGGGAGAAGGGGUGCUCUAUUAGGGUGCAAGCC
rnacentral:rRNA from 1 species